rnacentral:sRNA from 1 species
GUGCGCACGUGUUUGCGCAGAUGGAGGCGAGGUUCCGCCGAGGCCCGUCUGGGAGCGCCUGUCUGUGCAGGUGGAGGUCAGCCAGAAGGAGAGGACUUGGGUGAGGAGCUGCUGCCACCCGGGCUGGGCCAGGACCUGAGAUCUCAUUGCUACUGCUGCCGCUGCUGCCUGGGGAACCUUUCUGAGACCCAGGUUGGGGACAGUGCCGGAGGGGCCUCCUCUGCUGCAGACAUCUGGAACCAGGUGCAGAUGGGUCUCUUCCUUCCUGCCCCCAUCUCUCUCACUCCCGGCUCAGUGCGGCACUCUCCAGCCUCCUGUGGGAAUCAUCUGAAGUUCUGAGCCCGGAAGCCAAGGAGGAAGACGAGGAGGAGGAGGAGGAGGAGGAGGGAGAGGAAGUCAAGCCCUGAGAACCCUUGCACCUUCCUAGCAGGAGACAAGGAGCAACGCUGCAGUGGGGAGCAGGCUGUGGGGCCCCCACCCCCAGCCCCAGCCAGGCCUAGUGCCUGCUGCAGCACCCUA